GGGGGCGAACCGGGUUCGACGGGAGUGAUGAAGCCCUGGUUGCAUGUCGAGGUCUGUACCCUCGUUAAUAAGGCAGGCUGCAGAUUUAACUGCGGACGAUUACGAAUACGCUCUCGCGGCCUAAGUUGCCGUGAGCGUCCCCGGCCGAAAUUUCCCGCGGUCGGUCGGGGGCGGGUAUUAGCGGGAUAGGCAAGGGGGUCGGCCGCGGACCUCCCCAGCCGAACCUGUGCAGUGGCUGGGACGGUGACACGGCGCGCGUGCCGGGAUCACCGUCUGAGAUAAAAAACACGCGCUAAGCAUGUAGACGCUGGUGUGGAGUGCUUUCGGACGGGGGUUCGAUUCCCCCCGCCUCCACGA
rnacentral:tmRNA from 1 species